CAGGGAAGGAGGGGGAGCUGGAGGUGCUGAAGCAUCCCUCGUGGAGGGUCCUCAAUCCUCCCAGCUGGAGGGGGACUCGCUCAAAAAAAGAGCACUACUUCACCGAGAAGUUAAUACGCUUAAAAGCAAUGCAAUACAAAGGCUUCCUAUAAUUUUUGCUGCACCCAUCAUCGUUAAGAAAUGAAGAGCGUAGAGAGGAAAAACAGGGCCUUCGGUCUCUUUGCAUCACCUCGGGAGUGAAAGCUUUCAGAAAACCGCCAGGUUGUGCAAGAACUGCCAUGAAGUGCAAGAGGCGGCAGUGCAGCUGCCAUGGAGACCGGGCCUGGCAUCGCCCGCUUUUCUACUCACACCCCCGCCAGGGAGGCUCCAGCCCCAGUGAGUUAUUGCAGUAAUUAAUAGCCAGCACUUACACAUCGUCAAAACGCUUUACAAACAACACCUAACCUCAUUAAAUCGUGAAUCGCCGUGUUGUCAUCCUGUCGAGGAAUGAAGACCGUUACUGCUUCCUCCACAUCCCUGCGGGACGGAGUCAGUUUGCUGGUGCAGUGGGCAAUCCGGAGCUGCCAGCAGAUAGCACCCGAUAGAGAGCACGUGUACCGGGAUCCAAAGCAUAUCUGAGCAGCCCAGAUGACUGCCUAGAAAGAGAACGCUCUUUGUUCUUGUGUACUUGUCCUGAGCCAGGAUAAAUGAAAGGAAAACAAAGUGCCAAACACCAUCCUUCCACAGUUUGGUCUACCUCCGGUAGGUCAGUGAAUGGAAAGAAUGUGAAUGGAAAGAAUGUUUCACCAGCUUUGGAACCGCCAGGUUUGGAACCUCAACAAGGUUUAACACAGAAAUAAAGGAAGGUUCUAGAAAGAUAGUAACAUAUUUUUAAAAAAGGAAAGUAUAGACACCUCAGAAAGGGGAAGCAAAGGUAGAUUUUCAGUAAACAAUUCUCCUUGUCUAAAGCAGGAGAUAGACUAACUUGUCUGAUUGAAUAAGCUUCUCAAUACUCGUUACCUAAGUGGCGGAUACAGGGGGUCUGGCAACACAAAUUUUGAAAGACACUGUUCAAGUCUUUCAUCAAAUCUUUAAAAAAAACUUCAUAGUGGAUUGUGAGGAAAGAAAAACAGCAAAACAUGAACCAAAAACUAAAAGAGAUGAAACGGGAAAACAAGUGGUCAUUUAAAAUGAGAGUGAAAAGCCAGAAUGGUGGAGUGUUUUUAAGAUUUUGUGCCAGAACUUGUGUUGUGAACACCCUUACAGACAAUCUAGAAAAAGGGCUGUACAAAAGAAAAACACAUUUGUAGAGGACACGAGAACGUGGGACAGAUGCAGAAGAUAUUCAGAGUGACCCAAUUGUGCAGAUUGCUGCUUUUCUCUGUAUACAAGAAAUUAUGGAUUUCACCUCAUUAUUCCCUUGAGCUUCACAGGAGAACAUGAAGCAAUAAGACAAACUCAAGCAUGAAAUAUAAAAUGGCCGAAGCAUAGCAGAGCACGUGAAAAUAACUCCCAAUGAAGUUCUGGACUGCAUUGCUACAGGUAAGGGGGUAGAAGUAAAAAAACAAACAAACAAACAAACACAAAAUGACCCUCUAUGAUUGUUCUUCUGUCCCAGGAAGGGCGUCUCCUCCGCUAUAAGGGAAAGACAGAAUAGUAGGAGUUGGCCUACCUGCUUAUUAUGGUCUGUCUGCACACUACACUUGCAUUUGAGAUGUAACUAGUUACAGCCAUUGUGCCAUCCCUUUUUUAUUUAAAGAAUAAAAUCUCACUACACCAGUACCGCUCCCAACACCAGCAUUGUUUGGCUAAUUAUUCACCCAGCGGACAUACAAACUUCACGUUGCUGGGAUGCUUUGGGAUGAAAAAUGUGACUUGUCAACCUCUCAUCUCCAUAAAACCGAUCCAGAUGAUUGGAGUAUGACUCUACUGUGUCCUGUGGGGAGCUCUCAGACUGCUUUUGCAGAGGUGUGCUGCUCUUAUAGAGAUGAAUGCAGAGUGAGGAAAGCGUGCAGCUUCUAUUUUGGUAAUAAGUGGUUCGGUAAUGUGUGGUUUGAUGGCAUAUUUUUCAGCCCAGAGCAGCCCCACUGGGCACAAAGCUCAAAAGGAACAGUAGUGCAAGUCCUCAGAAAAAAAAAAAAAAUCAGGAAAAUAAAUCUCACAUUAGGUAGAGCAAUUAAUUGGCUGCUUUAUAUGUACUCUACUGCUAUAUGCUGAAUAGGAAUCGAGCAGCUUAAGAACACAGAUGUUCAAUUUUAAAAGCAGUCUUUCUUUGGUUGGAAUUGUAAUGGUAUUUUUAUAAGUAGAAGUUUUGAUUUUAAUGUUAUUCCCAUUGAGAGGUGCUAAACAUAGGCACCCCACACUGUAACUCUUCUUUUCAGCUUGGCCUCGGAUUUUAAAUUGCAUUCUUAAAUAUAAACAAUAAUAAUGCUCUACUGAAAGCAGUUUUAAAGACCCAUGGUCCACACUGUCUGCCUAAAGGGAGGCGGGGAAAUUAAAACUGAAAGAGAGAAAUAUUCCAGUAAUAAAAGCUACAGCAGAGUAGACAACAAACGGAGUGCAGCAUUUCAACUCUUUUUAAAGCUGUAUCGUGUCACGGUCUAUUCAACUGUAUAUCAGCACAAACUUUCUGUACAGCAAACAUGCCCUCUGUGUGUCACAAAGCACGAAUGUAUACGCGAGAGUCUCACACAGUGCAGCACCAAAAGCACAGAAAAAAUAAAUAUUGAAAAACAACAUUACGGAAUGCUUGCUCUGGAAAAUUACUAUCAGGGACAAAACAAAUCCACGCCAGAACACAGCCCUGUGGCAUUACAGUAUCCCUCGGGCAAAUGGGGAAAGAGAACCCAGCGUGCAGCUAGACUACCAACACUGGCACACAGACUGAAAGACACCUCAGCACAGUGUUUGUGGAAAGUAUCAGUGAUCUGUCAGGCCUCGAGCAGUCAUGUGUAAUAAAGCUCAUCUGUUACGGGUACCUACCUGUGUUGCAUAGCUAGGCACAAGGCAGUAUUUUCUUACUGCUAAAAAUACAUCCCUCCCCUCUCCAAAAUGACAAAAGUAUAACUUUGCCUGACCUAUUUUUCGUCCUCAUUCAUUCUGUGGAAAUCUUGUAAAAUUGACACCUAAUUUCCAGGUGCUGUUGCUUAGCUUCCUAAAUUAUUAAUAGGAGUGUAAUAAUUAUCCCUUUUUAUCAUUACAUGGGACAGCCAAUAGAUGCAAAGUGUGCAAUCACAUCACCACCCUCAUAUCCGAGCAUGUUUACAAUAUCAGAAGAUCCCUCUACCAUUGUCAAUGAAUAUGCUGUAUUACAAAGAUAUAUUUUAUGUCAUGAACUAAUGAUAUACUCUACUGGUCUAACAUAAUUGUGUUAGCAGAGAUCCAGGGUAGAGCACAAAAUUUGGUACAUAAUUGGAAAAUAUGGACCAAAUCUAGGAUGUCUGACAUGGUAGCCACCACAGACAGCUCUUUUCUCUGGUGACAAGCGAUAGGAUGUGAGGAAAAGGCCUCAAGUUUUGCCAGGGGAGGUUCAGACUGGGUAUUGGAAGAAUUUCUUCAUGGAGGGGGAAGCCAAGCACUGGAACGGGCUGCCCAGGUCAGUGGGGAGGCCCAGUCCCUGGGGGCAUUCAGGAGACAUGUGGACAUGGCAGUAGUGGUGGGACUCAGUACAUUAGGUUGAUGGUUGGACUCAGUGAUCUGGAAGGUCUUUUCCAACCCAGGUGGUUCUAUGAUUUGGUUAGUGUAUUCAAGAGCGGUGUCAGGUGGAGCCAGAAGGCUUCAGUGCGUGGGGUGCACUUUGUGUGCUGAUCCUGAUGUGGGUUUAGAAAGAAGAAAUGAGAUGUACAGAGAAGAAGUGAGACUAGUUAUGGGGAGUGUGAGGGAACUACUGAGGAAUGGGAAAACUUAAUGCAUCUUCUAAACGUUCAGAAUUAUUUCGAAAGUGAAAACGAGGGAUAUUUCCAUUUCACAGCAUCUUCACAGCUAUACUUGUACCAGCAAAGCUGCGUCAGCAGGGUUUCCUAUUAGCAACACAACCAACAGGAACAGCUUUUCUGCUACCUUAGCUGUCCAGUCUCCCAGGUCCAAUGCCAGACAUCGUCAUCUAGUCCUUCUGGCUGAGUGGGCUGAAGAUGUUCUGACUCACAGUUGUCCAUCAGCAUCUGCCAGCUGUGAAUUACACAGCUGGGUGUGCAAAACGAAUCCUGUGAGAGUUCUCAUUUGCUUUGAACACAGCUGCUAAACACUUUCAUCAGCACUUCAUAUCACUCCACUGGACCUUGCUAGGGCACAGUAUCUUCUGCCUGCAAAUAAAGAGGGCUGCAGCCUCCAUAAUAAAAGCAAUGAUAAGCCACAAGUGGACACUAAAGCCACUACUGGCAAUAUGAACGUCAAGUCAUGGCCUGAACAAUAUGAAUCAAAUUAACAAAAGCACCUGCUGCUCAACAGUGGUGCAUCUACACCUGCAACUUUUACUGACACAGCUGUCAGCAGACCUUUGUUGUACCAAAGCUCGAGGCCACAGCCCCUGCUGGAUUUAGCUGUAUCUGCUGGAGAUGUUUUUACUCGGGGACCUGUGAAGUAUAGAAAUAUUCUGCCUGCAUAACUCAAUUCAACAGAGAUUCUUAAAUGGAGCUCCUCACUACCAGAAUGCACAUCUCACAAAGCUCAGCUCACUGAUGUUACAAGGUGCUCAUCAAGGGGGUGAGAAACAACCCACCUGCUGCCUUUGCUCUGCAUCUACCACCCUCUAGGAGAGAAGCAGUGCAGACAAGUCAGGGCAGAAACCUCUUAAAUUACCCUUGCACACAUGGCCGACCUUCAAGAGACUAGGCUGUAGACCGAGCCAGCUGUGGGAAAAUCAGGCAUUUAGCAAAACACUAAGAAGAUAAAUCAGGAUGAGAUAGGGGGAGUCUGGUUGCAGGUGGAAAACAGGGAACUGGAGCCCAGCUAAGAGGGAUGGGACAAAGAACAAGUAAUGAGUACCAAGCGAUCUGGGCAACUGCUUUCGCCCUCCUGCUGCCCUGCCCAUCUGCUUGGAAUUUGUUUUCAAAACGAGCCCUAUUUUCCCUAUUCCUGUCCUGAUCCAAACUCGCAUAUUGUGGAUCUGGUGCUGUCACUCAAAACCGUAACAAAAGAAAAGCUGAACUGAGAAACAAAGAAAACUCAUUAUUUAAUGCACGCUGACAGAUUUCUUUCAGCUAUUUUCCUUUAACUCAUUCAGGUCCGAGUCUUCUGGCCGGUUUAUCACGGACAUUCAAAGACAACAACGAUUUUAAAUGACUAACUGUUAGAAAUUCAUCACAAGUCCUGCCCGUGUCUGACAUUUAAGGCCAAACAACCACACACUGUUGGAGAACCCCU